UGUAGCUCAGUGGUAGAGCACUUGCCUAGCAUGCAUGAGGCCCUGGAUUCAAUUCCCAAUA
rnacentral:tRNA from 1 species